UAGUACGGCGAGUGAGAGGGAAGAGCCCAAGAUUGAAAGCUGGCGUCUUCGGCGUCCGCAUUGUAAUCUCAAGAAGUGUUUUCCGCUUCGGACCAAGCCUAAGUCCCCUGGAAAGGGGCAUCAUAGAGGGUGAUAAUCCCGUACAUGGCUUGGAGCGCCCGAGGCUUUGUGAUACGCUUUCUAAGAGUCGAGUUGUUUGGGAAUGCAGCUCAAAAUGGGUGGUAAAUGCCAUCUAAGGCUAAAUAUUGGGGAGAGACCGAUAGCGAACAAGUACAGUGAUGGAAAGAUGAAAAGAACUUUGAAAAGAGAGUUAAACAGUACGUGAAAUUGCCAAAAGGGAAGGGUAGGAGGUCAGAGAUGCGGCCUGGGAUUCAGCCUUGCUUUUGCUUGGUGUUUUUCCCAGAUUGCAGGCCAACGUCGGUUUUGGGCACUGGAGAAGGGUAGGAGGAACGUGGCACCCCUCGGGGUGUGUUAUAGCCUCCUACUGGAUACAGCGACCGAGACCGAGGACAGCAGCGUACUCGCAAGAGCGGGCCUUCGGGCACCUUUACGCUUAGGGCGUUGGCAUAAUGGCCCUCUACCACCCGUCUUGA
rnacentral:rRNA from 1 species